GCCCACUUAUCACCUUGGGAGGUCACUUACACUAGAAGGAUCAGCUGCUAUUUGGGUGGCAUAGAAAAAACUGAACUGCAAUGGGGAGGAAGACAGCCCAAGAUUAGUCAGGGGAAGAAAGCUGGUUAACUCCUGUAGCUGUACAGAACUGGUCAGGAGGUGAGGAGCAGACCAAAAAUGGGGAGGAGGCAGGAGGGAGAAAAUUGUAAGAUGCCUGCCUAAAAGGUCAUUUAAAAUAGUCACUGCUCUAAAGAGCCCAGUCAGCUGGUUUCUAAUCACUAGGGCCAGGAACUCCUGGAGUCUCACAUCCUGCUUGCAGUUUACAGAAGAAACUCUGCAGAGGUUUCCAGGCCCCAUUGGGGAUGAUGAACCCGGAGGGAGUCCUACACAGCAAAUCUGAGCAGUGCCAACACUCCAGAGCUCCUGCUGACCCAGGGCAAGGGACCACAAGAAUGUUACAAACAUGGCAGGCAGAAUGAAGAUAAUCCAUGAACACCCAAGACACCUGCUUCCUGAAAAGCCUGAAAGAGAAAAGGAGACACAUACAAGGCAAAAGUAGUGGACAAAACAGGGGUUCAUUCCCCAGUGAGUAUCUUGGUUCUAGGCCACUAAAGAGAAGUAUUACCUCAUAUUGGGACAGAUGGGUGCAAGAACAGCUGCUGUCUUGAUUUCAAUUAAUUGUAUGUGCUUGCAUGCAACAGGGUCAGGCCUACAGGCUGCCACCGGGCAACUCCACAUACCUAUGGGGAUUUCGGCUGAAGAGCAUCUGUUCCACACCAGCCCAAAGUUUACAAGCACUCAAGCACAGUGCCCUGCCAGAAGUCUAAUUAAAAGCAUGCACUCUGUUUAAAGAUUGGAAGGCAACCAGAUUUCUUUAGACAGACCUCUACAGAAGCCUGUUUGGAGAGUGAUCAGUACUAUUGCCCCAGAAGUUGUAGACAAGAGGGAGGAAGAGGUAUGCCAAUAUACCAGAUCUCAUGCAGAGGGUACAUACCUGCUCCCAGACCCAUAACCAGAGCAAGACAAAUGGAAACAAAGGAUCUGUACUCCGGCUCAGCACCAGCAUGGACUCAAGGUAUGGUUUCCUACAAGUUCUUAGUGAAGGAGAAGGAAGUAUGGACAAGCCAACCAACAUUAUUGUGUCCUGGUUUCCCAGCAAGAACAACUUCAGCAGGACCAGCUAAAUAACCAUAUUGGCAGGCACCUUUUUAUCUCUUUGGAAACCCCUUACCCAAAGGGAAAUGUGACAGCUACAAUUCACCAUAAGCAGCAACAUAUCCUCUAUCGGUUUCAACCCAAAUGAACAGGAACUAGAAAAUGUUUCCCUGAAGCCAGGAGCCACUGCAGCAAAGAGAUUCAAGCGCUUGUCUUCACACAGUGUGAGUUGAGGGCCCUGAGGCCAGCAAGGGGUGUGCUUUGGUGGCUCCCAUGAUGGGAGAAAGCAAAAGGACAUGACAGGCCCUGCGAGAUUUCCAGCCCAAUAGGACUUCCAGGGUAGGCUUGCAGCCUCUGAGGAUUUGGAGCCAUGAUAAGAGCCGUGUGCUCAGAACUACUUCCUGUUUGCUAGUUUCCAGCAGUCAGCCCAUACCAACAGAUCAGCCAAAGUUGGUUGGUUUUUUUCCACCUUCCUCGCAGCAAAACCUAGGAGCUGGGUUUUAGGCAACCAGAGGGCUGGAACUCUCCCCAUCCCAAGACACACAGUCUGCACCUAAAUGAGGUGUUUGUCGCAACUUUUGGCAGGUGCUCAGUGCAAGAACUGGGUGAGUUAGGCUCCAGUUCCAAAAAGAUAUUAUAGUGGACAUCCUGAGGGCAUUGUGUCUAAACCCCUGGGGGAAAAUUCAAACUGGGGGGGCGGGGAAGGAGGGAGUGCCCUGCCAAUGCACUUGAUGGCAGUGCUGGCUGGUGGUCAAGGUCCCCUCUUGCCUCAACCCCCAAAAGGGGAAGGGAUUUAGCAGGCGAGUGGAGGCACCCAGAGACCCUCCUAGCAUGAUGACUGGAUCCCCUGAUGGUGGAAGCCCCCAAGAAUUGGCAAAUGAUCAAUGGGUGCGAGUGACUGCAUGGGGCUGUUCUCUGGUGGGAACCUUGGAAGUAAUUUAACUAAUACAAGUUGCAGCCUAGUUAAAAUCCAUGCCACGCGUCCUCAGCCUUCUUCCACGCAGUGAGCACACCGUAGCCUGUCUGAUUCUUGAAAUCCAUGCUUGUCAGUCACAGGAGAGACUGAGGGUUGGCUACACAAGGAGUUUUGCCACUAAAAUUCCACAUUGCGCCUAGUGCGACUGGGUCAGCUCCAUUGGGGGAAACAAUAGCAGGAGCUCUGGCAUGGCCAAGGCUCCAAGCCACACUGGCAUUUCAGAGUCGCUCUGAGCAGGAUUAGGCAACAUUGUGUUAAGUUUCCAAAAGCACCUCAGUGACGUAAUUUUUGAAAAUGCUACCCAUGGUGCUUAAGUCUGGGAUUUUCAAGGAGUGUGAGGGUUAGGUGCCCAACUGCCAUUAGAUUUCAGUGGAUCUUGGGGGGCACGGAUCAGCAUUCACGUCACACUCCCAGUCAGUACCCAGACCAAGCCGGGGAAGCUAAUGAUCCAACAAGCCAACCAAAUUUGGUGAUGAAUCCUGAUCACAUGCCACCUGAGGUAUACUGCACAUAUGCUGAGAGGUAUGUCUUGGGCACCUAAUUCCUUUAGGCACCUUUGAAAAUCCCAGUCUAGAACUCCAACAGUGGCUGACUAGCUACUCUAGCACCCCACUAUUCUUUCAGCAGCAGAAAAUGGGAAGAGGGGAUUAACCCAGUUUAGAUCUAGUAAGAGGGAAUAAUAAUGAUGAUAAAAGUUGAAAUAAAUGGGACAGCUCCCACAAUGGGCAAAACAGAGAGGCAAGUGGGAUGAAGCGAUUUACUAUCCUAUUUGUACUGAACUAGACUUGAUAAUUAACAAGCCUCCUGCUGUUCUCACAUUGAUUUCCAGCCUCUCCUGAAGGGAAGUAGAUUCGUUUUCUCUUUUCAAGCAGGGAAAACUUAAAACUUUGCCUUCCUGGAAGAAAGGUAUCGGAAUUCAGUUUUAGUCACUAGAAUUCAGCCUGCAGGACAGGAGGAGUUAAAAUUCCAAGGCUAAUUCUAGGCCACAGCAACAGGUUCAGAGUUGUUCCUAACUAUGUAGAUUUAUGCUUGAUGCUUUAGGGCACGAACCUCAGGGCAUGUCUUCACUAGCAACGUUAAAGCGCUGCCCUGGCAGGGCUUUAAAAGUGGCUGUGGAGUCACAGCCCCAACGCUGGGAGAGCUCUCUCCCCCAGUGCUGUAAACAAAACAAAAA